rnacentral:lncRNA from 1 species
CCGUUCUAAAAAAAAAUCAAUUAAUCUUGCUAUCACGUGAUACUGAAUGAUAUCAUUUGUUUCAUAACUUAUCAUGGUCGGAGGGGAUAGUCAGUCAGUUUUAUUUUACUUUUUGAUUCCAAAAGCAUCUAUUCCCAAGAUACAUACUCUUAAUCAAUUAUUACAAUAAUAUUCUCCAAUAGUGUACUAAUUAUCUAUAUCCUGGUAGAAAAAAAAUUAAUUCCAGUUAUUUGGAAAUAAACUGUCCGACGAACUCGUUCAGGUUCCUCUCCGAUGCCCCGCCGCCNNN